CCUGCACUACCUUAGCCAAAACCCUAACCUAAGCUUUCCUCACAGUCUCCCUCACUCCUUUUUGCUGAAACCCUAACGAACUCCUCUUCUUGCUCUUCUCUGUCUCGCCUCUCUUUUGCUCCAUGGUAGCACAACGUGUGCAGGCACUUGCAGAGGCAGGUCUCUCCUACCUGCCUUCCCAAUACAUCCAGCCUCCAGAGCUCCGGCCGGAUCGUCUUCGCCACAUGGAGGCGGCCGUGGAAUCCGGCAGCUUCCCUGUUCUCGAUCUUGAUCCCUCCAUGAAUCCUGUUUCUCACCUACGGCACCUCUGCAGUGAAUGGGGAGCCUUCCAUGUGGUGAACCAUGGCGUGCCGUCGCGAGUACUUAACGAAAUGAAGGAGGUUGGUCUUCGCUUCUUUCACUUGCCCACAGAGGACAAACUACAGUACGCGUGCGAUCCUGGAUCUGCAGCGACGGAGGGGUAUGGAAGCCGGAUGCUGUCCAAGGAGGAAGGGGUGCUAGAUUGGAGGGACUAUUUCGAUCAUCAUACCUUGCCAGAGACUCGGAGGAAUCCCAGCCGCUGGCCUGAUUUUCCAGAAAAUUACAGGGAUGUUGUCCUGGAAUAUAGUAACAACAUGAAAUUUCUUGCUCAAAGGCUACUGAGCAUGAUUUCUGAAAGCCUAAAUUUGCCACAUUUAUUUAUUGAAGAUACAAUUGGAGAAGUUUACCAGAAUAUAACCAUCAGCUAUUACUCUCCCUGUCCACAACCAGAGCUCGCUCUCGGUCUGCAAUCCCAUUCUGACAUGGGUGCGAUAACAUUUCUAAUACAAGAUGAUGUCGGAGGUCUUGAGAUAUUGAAGGAUGGGGAGUGGGUGCUAGCAAAACCUUUAUCGGAUGCCAUUAUCGUUAUUUUGGGUGAUCAAACUGAGAUUCUAACCAAUGGUAAAUAUAAGAGCGCAAUACAUCGCGCCAUUGUCAAUGCUCAUCGAGCACGGAUCUCCAUUGCAACAUUCUACGAUCCUGCAAAGACUCGAAAAAUCUCUCCUGCUCUUCAGCUUGUCACAGAGGAGUCACCACUCAAGUACCGUGAGGUUCUAUAUGGUGACUAUGUAUCAUCUUGUGGAUAGAGCACUUUACAGGUGGCGAAAUAUCAUUGGAGUCCGGACACAGAGCUACGUUCAAACUCAUGCAAAUGCAUUCAAUGAAGGUACCAUAAGAGAUUGCAGCUUGAAACUCUUGAAAGACAAAGGAUUAUUGCUAUCAAUAUUCUUGCUGAUUGAUAUGGUUCUUCCAACAUAGAUCUUAGCAGCUGUAUCUUGCACAACAUAUGUGAAUCAUUGAGUUUGAAUUGAUGGUCAGGUUUCUGUUGCUGGUUAAAUCUGUCUGGAAGCUUAGAACUGGUAUUACAUCAAGACAGAUUAAAACCUACUGUUACUUUGCAAUCUUUGUGUUUGUAUUUUUUUUGCAAUAAUUGGGCAUAUCUGCAUGUAGAGGGAUAACAGAUUAAUGGGAGAAGAAAAUUAUUAGAAUGGUUCGGAGACUUUUUAA